GGCUCUGUGGCUUUGUGGGUUAAAGUACUUGUCUGGCAAACAGGAGAUGCUGGAUUUCAAUCCCAGCAGGUCCU
rnacentral:tRNA from 1 species